GAUGAACGCUGGCGGCGUGCUUAACACAUGCAAGUCGAGCGAAGCGCUUAAGUUUGAUUCUUCGGAUGAAGACUUUUGUGACUGAGCGGCGGACGGGUGAGUAACGCGUGGGUAACCUGCCUCAUACAGGGGGAUAACAGUUAGAAAUGACUGCUAAUACCGCAUAAGACCACGGUACCGCAUGGUACAGUGGUAAAAACUCCGGUGGUAUGAGAUGGACCCGCGUCUGAUUAGGUAGUUGGUGGGGUAACGGCCUACCAAGCCAACGAUCAGUAGCCGACCUGAGAGGGUGACCGGCCACAUUGGGACUGAGACACGGCCCAGACUCCUACGGGAGGCAGCAGUGGGGAAUAUUGCACAAUGGAGGAAACUCUGAUGCAGCGACGCCGCGUGAAGGAUGAAGUAUUUCGGUAUGUAAACUUCUAUCAGCAGGGAAGAAAAUGACGG
rnacentral:rRNA from 1 species